rnacentral:misc_RNA from 1 species
GGUACGAUGGGCGAGGGCAGCAGCCGCAGCAGCGAGAGUCAACGGAAAAAAUAAUAGACAUGUCUGCAGCCACGCGGUGUGUCGCUGCCGCGGCAGCUCUACCCUACUUCCUCACAGAACCGCUGCGUUGUCCGCAUCUGCUGUCGAUUGCAGUGGCACUGCGAGGUUGGUGUGGCGGCAGGCAUGGCGCUCUUCUCCAUCAACGGUGUCUCCUCUCUUCCAGGGCGUCGGUAACGCCACUGAGUUUUUCAUCUACACACACACAGCGAGACUGGAAUCCAGCAGAAAACGCAGCCGCCGCCGCCGCCCAGGCAUCCGCUGGUGCCGCGAGAACAGCGCCAGCUACGCCGGCCAGUGAAAAGGCCACCCGCCGCAACGUGGGCCACAAUCGUGGCACAGCAGCAAGACAGAGCGCUGCCACGCCGCCGUCGUCGCCCGAAGCAGUCCACCCCUACUCUGUGCGUGCCUACCGGGCGCGACUCCUGGGCGGCGCCUACUUUUCCCUGCGAGAGUUGACGCGCACCGCCUACGCACCAGCCCCGCUAAAGGUGCUGACAGACCUGCUGCAGUUGUCUGCAAGCCACAGUUGUCGCCACGCCGAGCUCUCCUCAAGCUUAGCCUUUGUGGCCUCUUCGCCUGCCGCCUCCACCCCUCUCGCUCAGUCAGGUGCACAAAAUGCGCUGAGCAGAGCACGCGACGUUCAGCACGUGCUCCAGUUAGCAUUGACGGAGGCACAGGAUACGGUGCUCGCCGCCCAGACAAUAGGCGAUAUUGCUAGCCACGCGGCUCUGGAGGAACUGCUUGCCCAGCUGGAAGCGCUCGCGAACGCGAUGGACGCCUGUGUGUAUGCGCCUGCGUGGACGAUGCCGGUUGCCACUCACUCUGCACUACUACACGGGCUUCUGAGGCUCGCCGCCGCAACCGGGUCUCGUCUACAAGCCCUGGCCGCCUUAGACGACCUCCUCUCACUGCAGGAGCGGCAGCUACGCCAUAUCUCUGCACGGCGCGGCAGCAAUCAGCACCACGCUGGCGAUGGCGACAAGGACGGGGAUGGAGACGAGGAUGACGGCAGCUUCAGCAUGGAUGACGCCGUCGCACUUGUCGAUGCGGCCGCGCAGCAGUACGUCGAGCCUGUCACAGCGCAGGACCACCUGUGGGCCAUGCAGGCUUGUGCCAAGGAUCAGAAUCGCGACUUCGCCACGGCUCUAAGCCUCUACCGCCGUUUUGUGCAGCAUGCCGAGGCCGGCCGCUUCUCGGCCACGCCGAAUGACUUUAGUGAUGCGCUGGUCGCUCUUGCACACAGCAGCCGCACGACUACCGAUUUCACUGAGCUGCGAGCGUUGCUUAUCGAGAGCGAAGCGGCAGCGGUCGUGCCUGUGAGCGUGCCCCUGUACACAGCCAUCAUCGAUGCAGCGAGCCGCGCCAUUGAGGAGCCACAGCGUAUGGUCAUUGCCCUGUUCAUGUAUCGGCGUCUCCGCGACGGGGGGCUGACGCCGACAGCGGACACGUACGCAGCUCUGAUCGCCUGCUGCGCCUCGACUCGUGAGCCGACGCACGCCUUCGCCUUCUACCACGAGGCGCGGCAGGUCUGCGGCGUGGCGUGCUUUACUCCACAAGUGUACACAAACCUGCUUCUGUCCUACACGUCUGCCGGCUACGGCGCCGAUGCGCGCAAGACGCUCGACGUGCUGGUGGAGGCUGGCGCCCCGCUCUCCCGCGCUAGCUUCCACGCCGUCCUCGCCGGCGCCGUAACAGCACGGGAGGCGCAGGAAGUUGUUGAGCUCAUGACGGAGCGUUACCACAUCGCCCCAACGCCGCACACCUACGCCUACGUAGCGCAAGCGGUGGCGAGGUCGCCGGCAGGGGUUUCCACGGCGCUGCAACUCUUCGACAUUCAUGAAGACGCAAUGCGGGCGCUUGCACAGAUGGCAAACGCGACAGUGCGCUCGCCUGGUCGGGAUGAUGGCGGCGUGGCACAGAUUGCCGUCGGGCAGGCGAUGAGUACGUCAGCGGAUGGAGCGGAACUGGAGCCGGCACUGCUAGAGCGCUACCCGCUCUACGUGCGGGCGAUGGAGCAAGCCCUCAUGCGGCUGCGCGUCGACCUCGGCAUGGACAGUCGCCUGAGGCCGUAUCUGAUGCCGCUUAUCCGCAUAGCCCAGCAGCGCAUGAACGCCUUCACUGGAAUGCCGCCGCAAUCGCCGACGCAGAUCCCUGACAAGGAGCGCCUCUGCAUUGCCGUGCUGGCAGCCGACGUGCUCGCCAAGGUGGAUGAGUGGGUGCUGCCGUUCAUCUCGCACUACUCCGUCCUGGUGAUUCCCUACUCGGCUCUUGUGUCGUUGCAGCGUGGUCGUGGGCGGCGCGUCGAUGGCGUCAUGCCCAAAGGUGCCCAGGCGGGUCGGCAUGACGCCGUUUGGCAGGAGACGGCAGGCGGGCAAGAGUUCGACGCGGUGGUGGAGCACCGUCGGCGUCGCCUCGCACGCUUUCUGGAGCAGUACAAGGAUGUGAUUCACCUUGUGUCUCUAGAGGAGGAACUGCGCUGGAGCCGCGAGACACGCCGAUACGGGGUCGGGGUGACGGACCUGUUUGCGCGUGCAGCCGUCACGGCGCUGCAUCUCGCGCGGCACGACAGCUCCAGCGACGGUGGCACCGUGUACGCGCAGCACGCCAACGCCUCCGUUGUGCUAGUGUCUGCCGACUACAAUGGGUGCGGAAAGUACGUGGUGGCGCUGAGGCAAGCGUACGCAGGCCGAACGAAAGGCAGCGCCGCGGGAGUCAGGUCAGCGGAGAGCGCGCCUGGGCUGAGGGCGGCACUGAGCCGAGUGUCGUACCACAACCCGCGAACUAACCCGAACUGGGCCCCACCCACGCUAGCCAUCGCCCAGCAGGAGGGGGAGACGAAGAAGGAAGGGGACGGCAGGAAGCACGCGCCGGUCCAGUCCGCAGGUGCGACGAGCGAGACGCGCAUCAGAGGAGAGGAUAAAAGCAAGGAAGGCAGCGCGGCGAGGGAUGCGACCGUCUCGGCUGGCAGAGUGCCUGGCUUCGAUGACGACAGUUGCGGGUCAGCGUGGUAUGCCUCUGCGCACGACGCUGAUGCUGCUGGGCUACUCUACCGGCAAACCCUGCAGCUGGCGUCUGCUCCAGAACGCAGGGGUGCACCGAGCGGCCGCAGCGCGAAGAACUCGAGUAGCAGCAAGGGCGUCGAAUCGAGUGUUGCGAUGGACGAAGGAGAAGCGACACCGCAGUUGCCAUCCAGCCAGCACGCACCCACAGCAUCCACGUCGUCUGUACUUCCUCCUCUGCCUCUGCCAGCCCCACCCACCAGCGCAGACGCCGACGACAAGCUCGAUGCAUUCCUCCUCAUGUCACUCUUGAACGACUGAUGUUGGCACUCAAGACUCUCGUGCACGAACUAGAGAGGCGAGGAGUGUGGGCCUUUGGGGUGGCUAUCGCUGUCAGGUGCAUCGCAGAGGUCGAGCCGAUGUGUGCGAAUCGCUUACUAGCCUGCACUACAGAUAUCUUUCUUCGCUUCCCCUCACCCCCCUCCCCACCUACCCACACGACAUGCUACACUGGCACACCCCCACGACGAUGUCAGCAGGUGAAGCAGCAGCGCU